UUGAUCCUGGCUCAGAAUCAACGCUGGCGGCGUGCCUAACACAUGCAAGUCGAGCGAGAAAGUGGAGCAAUCCAUGAGUAAAGUGGCGACCGGGUGAGUUACACGUGACUAACCUACCUUCGAGUGGGGGAUAACCUCGGGAAACCGGGUCUAAUACCGCAUAACAUCUUUUGGAGUGGAAAUUCUGGAGAUCAAAGGAUCAAUUCGCUGGAAGAGGGGGUCGCGGCUGAUUAGCUAGUUGGCGGGGUAUCGGCCCACCAAGGCUUAGAUCGGUAGCCGGCCUGAGAGGGCGCACGGCCUCACUGGAACUGAAACACGGUCCAGACUCCUACGGGAGGCAGCAGUGGGGUAUUUUGCGCAAUGGGGGAAACCCUGACGCAGCAACGCCGCGUGGAGGAUUAAGUCCCUUGGGACGUAAACUCCUUUCGACCCGGACGAUAAUGACGGUAUGGGUGGAAGAAGCCCCGGCUAACUUCGUGCCAGCAGCCGCGGUAAUAAGUU
rnacentral:rRNA from 1 species